UAUUUUUUGUUUUUGUUUUUGUUUCAGGCAAGCAUUCGGCAUUCCAUGCUAAGCGUCACUUUAGGUGGUCCCCACAUUAUAAGGAUUUUAUUAGACUUUUGGCAUGCAAUUGGAUGAUUAAUAGCAUGACUUGGCUGUAACUUGGAACCAAAUCUUAUGGUAGAUACAAAUCUAAUCGUAUAUGCAGCUUCGGCCCACUUUGAACCAUCUUCGAUGGUUUUAGAAGAAGUGGGCAUCUAUAGAAGACCCAGUUCCAAGUAGUUGUAGGAUGGAGGAGUUUAAAAUUCAUCAAGACUCCUCUUCUAAUCCAGCACAUUUAAAGGUUCUAUUCCUUUUUUAAAAUCAGUGCACAUUUAAAGGUUUUAUUCCUUUCAAGUGGAUGUUGCAUGUGGGAGGAUUGGAGCUGUAUAUUUCAGAUUCAAGCAUUUGAAUAAUGGAAUAUACGAAGCUGUUGAAAUUUUAGGGUGAAGUCGAGCACAUUUCUCUAAUGAAGCCAAAGAUUUGUAUUUUCAGCAUUAUUGUAAUUGUAAUUGUAAUUGAUUGAAUGAAUUGGAUUGUAAUUGUAAUUGAUUGAAUGAAGGAUUGUAAUUAUAAUUGAUUGAAUGAAUGAUUGUAAUUGAAUG